GAAGAGGAACGGGUAGUCGCUGGGGAAAUCUUCGGAUUUUCCCAGAGGAAAGUCCGGACACCAAAGAACAGGGUGAUGGAUAACGUCCACCGACCGUGAGGUUAGGGAAAGUGCAACAGAAAGUAUACCGCCGUAAAGCCUCCUUUUUUAGGGGUGCCUUGCGGUAAGGGUGAAAUGGUGAGGUAAGAGCUUACCAGCAUCGUGAGUGAUCCGAUGGCUCGGCAAACCCCACCCGGUGCAAUGUCAAAUAAGGCAGGAAUGGUGGUGGCUGUUUUUUAUUUUGCAGCUACGCCUCCGUAUUGGUUCGAUGCGGGGACUGCCGGGUAGACAGCUUGAGGGUCGCAGUAAUGCGCCUCCCAGAUAAAUGACUAUCCUUCGGCAACGAAGACAGAAUCCGGCUUACAGUUCCUCUUUCUUU
rnacentral:RNase_P_RNA from 1 species